rnacentral:lncRNA from 1 species
GAAAGAACAUAUCAAUAUUUGCAUAUUCAUUCAAAAACAUGAAAAUUCUUAAUGGAGUACCCUCAUUUUUUAUUGAAUUCCUAAAAACCAAUAUUUAUAAUGAAUUUUAAUAAUUUUUUCGGAUUUUUUUGAAGCUUUAUUCUGACCGAUUCACCCGAUUCCGAUCCGGAUCGCCGAUUCGCCGAUCCGGAUCGCCGAUUCGCCGAUCCGGAUCGGUUUUUGAAAAGCCCGAUCCGGGUCACCGAUCCGGUUUUUAAACCAUUG